GAUUAAGUUAUUAAGGGCGCACGGUGGAUGCCUUGGCACUAGAAGCCGAUGAAGGACGUUACUAACGACGAUAUGCUUUGGGUAGCUGUAAGUAAGCGUUGAUCCAGAGAUUUCCGAAUGGGGGAACCCAGCAUGAGUUAUGUCAUGUUAUCGACAUGUGAAUUCAUAGCAUGUCAGAAGGCAGACCCGGAGAACUGAAACAUCUUAGUACCCGGAGGAAGAGAAAGAAAAAUCGAUUCCCUGAGUAGCGGCGAGCGAAACGGGAAGAGCCCAAACCAACAAGCUUGCUUGUUGGGGUUGUAGGACACUCUAUACGGAGUUACAAAAGAACAUGUUAGACGAAUCAUCUGGAAAGAUGAAUCAAAGAAGGUAAUAAUC
rnacentral:rRNA from 1 species